CCAGACUCCUACGGGAGGCAGCAGUGGGGAAUAUUGCACAAUGGGGGAAACCCUGAUGCAGCGACGCCGCGUGGGCGAGGAAGUACCUCGGUAUGUAAAGCCCUAUCAGCAGGGAAGAAACAGGACAGUACCUGACUAAGAAGCCCCGGCUAACUACGUGCCAGCAGCCGCGGUAAUACGUAGGGGGCAAGCGUUAUCCGGAUUUACUGGGUGUAAAGGGAGCGUAGACGGCUGUGCAAGUCUGAAGUGAAAUGCCGGGGCCCAACCCCGGAACUGCUUUGGAAACUGUACAGCUAGAGUGCAGGAGGGGGGAGCGGAAUUCCUAGUGUAGCGGUGAAAUGCGUAGAUAUUAGGAGGAACACCGGUGGCGAAGGCGGCUCACUGGACUGUAACUGACGUUGAGGCUCGAAAGCGUGGGGAGCAAACAGGAUUAGAUACCCCAGUAAUA
rnacentral:rRNA from 1 species